CCGGCCCCGCCCCCGGCCCCUCCCCCAUGAGGCUGGGCACGCCCCUGUUGCGAGUCUUCACCUCCCAGCCACCAGGCGCUGUCGGAGCGGAGCCGCCCCCUCGGGAGUUAGGGAGGGCUCUCCAGUCUCUAGCCUCUGGCUCCCCCUUAAACUGGGGUCUGACGGCGUGGCUUGAGCGGGUGCUUGGUUCCCCCGAAAUCUCCGUUAGUUCCACCACCCCUACCGGAAGUAAACAGAAGUUAGGUAAAAACGGGAUGCUUGCUACACUACUGCAGCCUCAAAACCGGCUCCCGGUCCCCCGCCAACCAAAUGCACCCAUUCCCCCCCAGUAUAGAAAUUCAGCAGCCGCUUCUAGUGUGGAGUUGAUGACCAAGAGCCCGGCUGUCUGUGCCCCUAGAUCCCGCCCCUUUAGGCUCCUGCCUCAAGGGUCGGAGCUUCUGAGUUGCCAUUCUUUCCUGGGCCCGAAAGCUUGGCCUAUGGCCCGCAGCCGUACCAGCCGAGUUUCAUCUAAGGGUUUCAUCCACUCAGACGAGGUGGGAGGACUCUGGUGUCUCCUUCUCCCAACUCUUAGUGUUGCCCGCAGUUUCCAUGGCUCCUGGAAGCCGCGAUCGCGUCAGCAGCUGAGGGUGGAGGAGCUCAGAGAGGCUCCUGUCCCUAGCCCUGACCUGGGCGCCAGGCUCUGAGGGGGACCCACUGAGAGCCCCACGGGCCUGAUGCCUGGUGCUGCCUGCUGUUCCCGGCACUGCCAUCACCCCUAGCUACUGGACUGUGCUCACCCACUGAGCCCCACUGAAGGAUGCAGGUGCUCUGACGGGGCCCCUGAGGGAAGCUGGGAGUGGUCAGAGAAGAACCUGCGGGUGUGGCUGGCAGAGAGCAGGUAGCAGCGGGCUGAGCUGGCUGGCCGCCUGCGGGCAGCCCUGGAGGCCCUGUCUGAGCAAGCACAGGUGCUGCAGAAGCAGGGAUGCAGGCUGGGACUCGGCAGGACCCAGUGUGAGCUGCUGGCUCCGAAGCAGAAAGUGAGGCUCUGGUCCUCUCCCCGUGAGUCCCCAACAGGGCUACCAUGUUGAAAGUGUCAUCUCUGUGAAUGGCACCCCCUGGAGGUGUGCAGUGCAUUGCCUGGUGUGGCUGGGAGCAGUGGAUAGAGGCAAAGGAAGGACCAGGGAACCUCUGCCCUUCCCCUCCCAGGUAGAAUAAGAGGGAAGGAGGUGGCUGGUUUUAGCUCAGUGGACAGAGGAGUUUCCUCAGAAGCCCAAUCACCCCUGGUGAAGCUUCAGUCCCCAGGGAGGGAGGGAGGGUGAUGCACACUGAGGCUUCUAGGGGAGGUACCCAGCAUCCCUGCCGCAUGUGAGAGUGUGGACAGUGCCACCCUGUGAUGGCCUAGAUACCUAAGCCUUUAUGUGACCUGGUGGUCUCAGCCCACAGCUGACCCUCCUAGAGCCACUGCUCCCUACCAGCCAGGGAGGACCCCGGGAACCCAGUUGACAUGCCUGCCCACUCUCCAGCAUUCCACAGCAGCAGCCCCUGUACUCUUUUUGUUUGUUUGUUUUUUUAAAAUAUAUUUAUUUAUUUUUGGCUGUGUUGGGUCUUCGUUGCCACCGGCGGGCUUUCUCUAGUUGCGGCGAGCAGGGGCUACUCUUCGUUGCAGUGCGCCGACUUCUCACUGUGGCGGCUUCUCUUGCUGCAGAGCAUGGGCUCUAGGCACACGGGCUUCAGUAGUUGUGGCGCAUGGGCUUAGUUACUCCACGACAUGUGGAAUCUUCCCAGACCAGGUCUUGAACCUGUGUCCCCUGCAUUGGCAGGAGGAUUCUUAACCACUGCGCCACCAGGGAAGUCCCAGCCCCUGUACUCUUGCUGGAGCUCCAAAGCCAUCAGGAGCUGGGCUGGAGAAGGUGAUGUGUCUUGUGUCCAGCUGGAGGUGGAGGGUUUUACA